GACCUGGCCGGGCGGUCUGCCUAACGGUAUGUACUGUCUGGCUGGGUCUUACCUCUUGGUGAGCCGGUAUGCCCUUCACUGGGUGUGCCGGGGAACCAGGACUUUUACCUUGAGAAAAUUAGAGUGUUCAAAGCAGGCCUACGCCUGAAUACAUUAGCAUGGAAUAAUAAAAUAGGACGU
rnacentral:rRNA from 1 species